UUGAUCUAGAGACUUGUUACUU
rnacentral:snRNA from 1 species